AACGAACGCUGGCGGCAUGCCUAACACAUGCAAGUCGAACGAGACCUUCGGGUCUAUUGGCGCACGGGUGCGUAACGCGUGGGAACCUGCCCUUAGGUUCGGAAUAACUCCCCGAAAGGGGUGCUAAUACCGGAUAAUGUCUUCGGACCAAAGAUUUAUCGCCUUUGGAUGGGCCCGCGUUGGAUUAGCUAGUUGGUAGGGUAAAAGCCUACCAAGGCGACGAUCCAUAGCUGGUCUGAGAGGAUGAUCAGCCACACUGGGACUGAGACACGGCCCAGACUCCUACGGGAGGGAGCAGUGGGGAAUAUUGGACAAUGGGCGAAAGGCUGAUCCAGCAAUGCCGCGUGAGUGAUGAAGGCAUUAGGGUUGUAAAGCUCUUUUACCCGGGAUGAUAAUGACAGUACCGGGAGAAUAAGCUCCGGCUAACUCCGUG
rnacentral:rRNA from 1 species